AGUGUUACCCGUGUUGGCCUGUGUACAAGUCUCCUGGAAUGGAGCGUCAUAGAGGGUGAGAAUCCCGUCUUUGACACAGAUCCCAAUGCAUUGUGGUGCGCUCUCAAAGAGUCGAGUUGUUUGGGAAUGCAGCUCUAAAUGGGUGGUAAAUUCCAUCUAAAGCUAAAUAUUGGGGAGAGACCGAUAGCGAACAAGUACCGUGAGGGAAAGAUGAAAAGAACUUUGGAAAGAGAGUUAAACAGUACGUGAAAUUGCUGAAAGGGAAACGCUUGAAGUCAGUCGCGUUUGUCAGGGAUCAGCCUUCCUCUUGGUUGGUGUACUUCCUGAUGAAUGGGUCAACAUCAGUUUUGAUCAGUGGAUAAGAGCUUGAGGAAUGUGGCAUCUCCGGGUGUGUUAUAGCCUCUUGUUGUAUACAUUGAUUGGGACUGAGGAACUCAGCACGCCGCAAGGCCGGGUUUUUAACCACGUUCGUGCUUAGGAUGUUGGCAUAAUGGCUUUAAUCGACCCGUCUUGAAACACGGACCAAGGAGUCUAACAUGCCUGCGAGUGUUUGGGUGGUAAACCCGAGCGCGUAAUGAAAGUGAAAGUUAGGAUCUCUGUCAUGGAGAGCACUGACGCCCGGCCCAGACCUUCUGUGACGGUGCCGCGGUUGAGCAUGUAUGUUGGGACCCGAAAGAUGGUGAACUAUGCCUGAAUAGGGUGA
rnacentral:rRNA from 1 species